rnacentral:lncRNA from 1 species
CUCCAUUUCAUCCUAAUAAACUAGUUCAUAGAGUUUGUUUGACAUCAUGGAUGUCAGGAAUGUUGUGUAGAUAGAUAAAAUUUGCCAUUUCAUGACCACAACACACAAGAAAAGUAAGUUUCCUACAUGUGGAGCUAAUAGACGAGGAGGUAAAUCCAAGUACUCAUUAUAAGGGCAUAUAAACACUACUACCGAUGAGUGUGAAAAUUAUAGAGCAUUUAUCAUCCUCUUCAUCUCAGUUGACCUCCUUGGAUCUGCUUCAUCAAUGGCUCUCUCAGUAAGAACAUGCUUGAUUCGG